rnacentral:rRNA from 1 species
GGCGGCGCGCUUAACACAUGCAAGUCGCACGAGAAAGGGAGCAAUCCUGAGUAAAGUGGCGUACGGGUGAGUAACACGUGGAUCAUCUACCUUUUAGUGGGGAAUACCUCCGGGAAACUGGAGACAAUACCGCAUAAGCUCGUAAGAGGAAAGCCGAAAGGCGCUGAAAGAGGAGUCCGCGGCUGAUUAGCUAGAUGGCGGGGUAACGGCCCACCAUGGCGAAGAUCGGUAGCCGGCCUGAGAGGGCACACGGCCACACUGGCACUGAAACACGGGCCAGACUCCUACGGGAGGCAGCAGUGGGGAAUCUUGCACAAUGGGGGAAACCCUGAUGCAGCGACGCCGCGUGAGCGAUGAAGCCCUUCGGGGUGUAAAGCUCUUUCGACGGGAACGAUAAUGACGGUACCCGAAGAAGAAGCUGCGGCUAACUACGUGCCAGCAGCCGCGGUAAUACGUAGGCAGCAAGCGUUGUUCGGAAUUACUGGGCGUAAAGAGUGUGUAGGCGGUGU